UAUUCUGCCCCAUGGGGAAGGAUGAGAAGCUUCGACUAAGGUUCGACUCGAGCGCCAGCGAGAGAACGUUGCCACAGGCAACGGCCCGAAGGGCGAGGCGCUUUAGCGCCGAGUAAUCCUUCCCCCA
rnacentral:sRNA from 1 species